rnacentral:rRNA from 1 species
AGCAGCCGCGGUAAUUCCAGCUCCAAUAGCGUAUAUUAAAGUUGUUGCAGUUAAAAAGCUCGUAGUUGAAUUUCGGGGUCAGCAGGUUGGUCGUGCCACUGGUAUGUACUGGUCUCGCUGAUUCCUCCCUCUUGUAGAACCGUAAUGCCAUUAAGUUGGUGUUGCGGGGAAACAGGACUGUUACUUUGAAAAAAUUAGAGUGUUUAAAGCAGGCUAACGCUUGAAUACAUUAGCAUGGAAUAAUGAAAUAGGACGAUCGAUCCUAUUUUGUGGUUUCUAGGGUUGACGUAAUGAUUAAUAGGGAUAGUUGGGGGCAUUAGUAUUCAAUUGUCAGAGGUGAAAUUCUUGGAUUUAUUGAAGACUAACUACUGCGAAAGCAUUUGCCGAGGAUGUUUUCAUUAAUCAAGAACGAAAGUUAGGGAAUCGAAGACGAUCAGAUACCGUCGUAGUCUUAACCAUAAACUAUGCCGACUAGGGAUCGGAUGAUGUUAAUUUUUAUGUACUCAUUCGGCGCCUUACG